UACGAAGGGGGCUAGCGUUGCUCGGAAUCACUGGGCGUAAAGCGCACGUAGGCGGCUUUGUAAGUUAGAGGUGAAAGCCCGGAGCUCAACUCCGGAAUUGCCUUUAAGACUGCAUCGCUCGAAUCAUGGAGAGGUGAGUGGAAUUCCGGAGUGUAGAGGUGAAAUUCGUAGAUAUUCGGAAGAACACCAGUGGCGAAGGCGACUCACUGGACAUGUAUUGACGCUGAGGUGCGAAAGCGUGGGGAGCAAACAGG
rnacentral:rRNA from 1 species